rnacentral:lncRNA from 10 species
AAGAGGGAGGCCAGAAGUCCAACUGUUAAAAAACUUUUACCCUUUACCUGGCAUGUCAGGCUUUUGGAUUCCUUUCCCCUGAGCUCAAUUUUAAGCCCAGCAGUUUAAGGUUGGGGAAGUUAACUUUUCCAAUUUGGGGGAUACAUCUAAUGGGAUUGUCCUGUGGUACAGGAACACAAAUACCCAUCGGUGAAGAGAGGACAGAGGAGGAAAAAGGAGAAAGAAGGUUUUUUUGUUUGUUUGUUUUAUUUUCAAAGGAAUCCCAGUGAUUCAAGAUGCAUUGGAGAGAAAUACAGACUGAAGAUAAUUGGUUACCCAUCUAGAAAGAGAUAUAUGAAGUCUGGGGGUAAGACCUGCAGUAAUUUCCCUUAAGUUACUGAUCGUGGAGCCUCUCCAGGACUACAGGCUCUUCCUCAGCGGCUGCCAAGCUCCUCUUAGGGAAGCCGGGGAACUUCUGAAUGCCCAAGUAUACCCUGCUGGAGGCACAGGAAUCCUCUUGGAAGCUUUGUCUGGACAUGCUUUAAUACCGUCCAUUUCUACUGUUGCCAUACCAAGCCGCUACUGGUCACCACUGUAAAUCUUUCUGCUGUUUUUUAUAACCACAAAGUAUAGCACAAUUUCUGUCUGCUUUCAUGCACCUAAAACUAUUGUGGUUUUUGCCUUUCCCGGUCUCAUUAGCUAAAACAAAGAGUUGAUAAAGGCACAGGCCCUUUCUCAAGAAACAAAAUGUUGUCUGUCUUCUUUCUGCAGUGAAACAGAAUGUAAAGUCCAGAAAUAAACGUGUAAUUAAAUAAUUGUGUUUUUUUUGACAAAGAUACUAACACAAUUUAAUAGGGAAACGGCAGCAUUCUCAAUAAAUCAUGUGAAACUAGAUACUAAUUCACUCAAUAAACAAGGGUUAAUUUGAGAUGUAGCAUAGGUCUGAACAUAAAAGUUUCUAGGAGAAAAUGUUGGUGACUGUUUUUCAGGCUGUGGGAUGAGCAAAUAUUUCUUACACUGAACACAAAAAGCACUAACCACAAAAAAUACCCAAAAAUAUUUUUUAAUCAAAAUUAAAAUAAUUUGCUCAUAAACACCAGUAAGACAAUGAAAAAGCAAGCUGCAUGCUGCUAAAAAAAAUUGACAGCACGUGUAUUGAUAAAAUG